rnacentral:rRNA from 1 species
CAGCCGUAAACUAUGCUCGCUAGGUGUCAGGCAUGGCGCGACCGUGUCUGGUGCCGCAGGGAAGCCGUGAAGCGAGCCACCUGGGAAGUACGGCCGCAAGGCUGAAACUUAAGGAUUGGCCGGGGGAGCACAACAACGGGUGGAGCCUGCGGUUUAAUUGGACUCAACGCCGGACAACUCACCGGGGACGACAGCAAUAUGUAGGCCAGGCUGAAGACCUUGCCUGAAUCGCUGAGAGGAGGUGCAUGGCGUAGACGUCU